GAGAGAUGCGGCAUUAGAGAGAGAGAAAAAAACUUGAGAAACAACGUGAAUUAGAAGCUGCGUAAGAUCUUGAUUUAUUUCAUUUUGAGAGAGAACGCAUGUGAAAACCAAACAUUUGGAGUAGGCCAUCAUUGCGUCAUCCGAGAGAAACCUGGAAAAAAACAGAGAAAUAUCAUUAAUACACGAGGGAAUCGGCCAGUUUUGUUAUUUUAGAAAUCUAGAAUCUGGAUUUUUUCAAUUCAUGAAGAUGGCGAGCCAACCGUAAAUCGAUCAGAAACAACUAUCCUUUGUCUUUUUGGACAUCUGUAUCACUUCACUUUCGGCAGGACAUCGCGUCGGAUUUUUUUCUUUUGAGGUUUGAAACAUCUGACAUUUUCAUUUUUCCUUUUGAGCAUUGGAUCACUGAUUUAAAGGAACUGAGGAGACAAUAUCAUUCUUUAUUGUUCAGACUGACAUUUUGUUUGAACUGUGCAUUCAAGAAUUACUGAUACUGCAUUGAUACGCAUUCAUUUAGACUUUGUUUCGUAUAAACAAGUGUUUACAGUGGACAUUUGUACGUGUGACUAAACACAAGUCCUGACAUUCGUGUUUAUUUUAUAUCUACUGAUCUUGAGUAUACAUUUGAGUUGUGUACAUAAAAAAGGAGAUCAGAAAUUGA